rnacentral:rRNA from 1 species
AUUGAACGCUGGCGGCAGGCCUAACACAUGCAAGUCGAGCGGGCGGCCGACGGGCGGGUAAGGUAUGGGUGCUACCCGCUAGAGGGGGAUAAAUAAUGGAAACGAGAGCUAAUACCGCAUACGAUCGGAUAACCCAUAUGGGAUUAGCUAGUAGGUGAGUUAAUGGCUCACCUAGGCGACGAUCCCUAGCUGGUCUGAGAGGAUGAUCAGCCACACUGGGACUGAGACACGGCCCAGACUCCUACGGAGGCAGCAGUGGGGAAUAUUGCACAAUGGGCGAAAGCCUGAUGCAGCCAUGCCGCGUGUAUGAAGAAGGCCCUAGGGUUGUAAAGUACUUUCAGUCGGGAGGCGUUACCCGCAGAAGAAGCACCGGCUAACUCCGUGCCAGCAGCCGCGGUAAUUC